rnacentral:lncRNA from 1 species
CUUGACCAUUAUUUCAGAGCUUAGUACUGGAUGAGUAUUUUGUAGGGAUGGUAGACAAGCCUAGGUUUGGUAUGAUUAUAGCACCGUUCUGUUUUUAUUUCAGAGGAAAAAUGUAGUAGUAGACAGGCUUCCUCCCAAGUACAUUUUAGGCUGCUAACUGACCCAAACCAUAAUACUUCCCAACCCGUGCCCCCUACCAUUUGGAGUCAGGUGCAGAUUGGAGAUGGGUGGUGAAAAAAGAUCUAAACAAAGAUGCUAGAUUUUUUUGUUGUUGUUAGUUGCACUAAUGACUCUAGCAGUUUUCUGUGCUGCUUGUGAUAAUUUACAAGGAAAUGAUAAGAGAACUAAGCAUACAAAAAUUAUUUUCCACCAAAAAAUUGACAAACUCCAAACUUGUGACUAACUCAUUCAUGAUCCAUUUAAUCUUGAGAUGUUGAGGAGUAAUUAGAACUUUUCUAGGCUGAGUUGUUAACUUGUUUUGAUUGAUUUCUGCAUUCCCAGCAGGACUCUUUAAGUCUUGCCCCUUCAGACACUAUUCUCACUGCUGCAUAACUAAGACAAGAUCUUCAAAUAUCAUAGUUUCUACUGUGGAGUGAAAUGAUCUUAUCUUCACGCUGGUUAAAGAGGUGGAGGUUCCUUAUACUUUAGAACAUGUUUUAUGUAAGUUACACUACAGUUUUGUUUUUUUUUUUUUAAUGCUUAAUGACAUGGAAAGAUGAGCAUCGUGUUUAAUUUGAUGAAAUCCCAUAUACAAAGUAAUCUCGUUAUUGUAAAAAACAUUAAAUGUUCUGCAAUGCAGUUAUUCCUCUCUUAAUAUGGGGAAAUAAAAGUUAUUUUGUGA